rnacentral:lncRNA from 1 species
AUUCGAACGUGUAGGGUAGACUGUGUACAGUUGAGUACAGGGUACAGUUGAGACAUCCGUAAUAUCUUUAGUGCGCAAACAUGCUUCUGCGCUGAUUUUUGCUCUGCACAUGCGUAUAGACGUCCUCUUUCAGCGUGGGAGAUUUGAACUGUGGGUGUGGCUCCGCUACGAAGUUAUCGGCAGAAGUCUGUUUUUGCAGGUCCCAUGAGCCCUACCAGAAGGGGCGUGACUUCGCCACUAUUGAGGAGAUUAUUGAUACGCUCCGAAGUUUGGCCGAUGAUGUGGAGAACAAUCGUGCUGAAGACACAGAUGCAGUUGAUAGAGGGCGUGUUCUGGGAGAUAGGAUAGACGACUUAUCCUCACUGGUACGUUUUGACCUUUAUUAUGUCCAUGGUUUUGACGCCAGUGUGGUAAACAGAGACCCACCGUGGAGAUACCCUUGGAGGCAAUAGGAAGUGACGUAAUUCCCGCCCACACGCUGAUUGGCUGAUACGUUUGUCACUUUGCAUUUUGGAAAACGUUUGGAUUCCGAUUUGGAAAACGUUUUGGAGCAAGGUACGUUUUA